GGGCCUCGUGUCAGUGACCUGACCACUCGACUUGUCAAUCGAGUUGAUGGGGUUCGAUUCCCCCGAGGUCCACCA
rnacentral:tRNA from 1 species